UUUGCAAGAAAUGUCUUGAUUGCUAAUAACAUUGCUGGUUUGACAGCCUAGCUGCCUAAUGUCGCAUUGCUAGCCCAACGUGCAUCCAUCCCCGCAAAGCGUUACUUUAGCUACACGGCGUUGCAAACGCAAACGUUCAAGCCGGAUAACUUGUAACCGGCAGGUUAGCUACGGAGAUAGCUGCCUUAGAUGACAGUUAGCACCAUUUCUUUCGUAGUGUCAAGAAAUUCGCGAAACUAACUAGUUAGCUGCCAGUAGAUGCAUUAGUAUAGCUAGCUAGCAUAAACGGUGUCUAUUUGAGCACAGUCUUGUUAGCAACACUCAGCAUUUGCCGCAUGCAAGCCUGUCAAGAUGAACGGCUGUGCUACUAGCAUGUUUACCAGGCUCAGCAGAGUUGACAGCAAACGUUAGCAAACUCUGAUUCUAUCAGUGGGCGAAGUGUCACCUUUCGCAGACAGGUGCCGGAGCCCGGGCUUCGCGUGACAGCCAACGGUGACGUCAGCGUGGAGAGCGGGGGACGUGCCGGGAACAGAGGCCAGCGGAUGAAAUCCGGCCCGCCGAAGCAGAGGCGAUGGACGCCGCCGGCAGACGGCGGCCCCCGGUUGGUCGGGGAGCAGGAAGAGGUGACGGCGUGAGGGAAAGAAAUCUGGCCUCGCGACGCCGGGGCGCGUGUGCCGGCGUCGCCUGAUGGUUCCCCUGAAAAGUGAAUUGAUGUUUGGCAGCGAGCGGAAACGGCUCCAUCCCGCUCAGACUCACAUGCAGCUCUUCGCUAGCUUUGUCUCUGAGGCACAGAAAGGCCUGUCUUCAUAUUUUAUGAGAAGAGAGCACUGCAUCAAGAAGAACAGGUUGUAAAAAAAAAAAUGUAUUUCUCGUUCCCAAAGCACAGGUCAACAAAGCCUUGACAAGAGGCCUGUGUUUACGAUUAUGAUUCAUAAGAAAAUAAUGAUGAAAAUGGUGACAGUGGCCAUGAAAAUGGUGGGUAUUCUUCCUUCUUCGUGGAAUGUGGCACCCAUAAGAAUUGCAUGUACUCUAAAUGCAUUCAAAAUGCAAGCCAUUUAUAUGUAGCUGUUUCUGUCAUCGCUGAUAUUAUAGCUAAUGUUAGGUGUCUUUUAGAUGAAUGCAAACCAACACCCCUCAACAUGUAGAUGGACGCAAACCAACACCCCUCAGCGUCUAAUGUUCCUCAAAUAUCCAUGAUCAUACUAUUCAUUAGAAUGGGGCAGGUGUAUGCUAUUGGCAAUUGUAUCCAUUUUACUAUCAUACUGUGUAUGUCCAACCUUGGUUCUGUUAGCUUUCUCCCUCCAUGCAUUUAGACCUGUUGAGACUGUUUAUCCAUUGAUUCCCAAACCUGAAUGCACAUUUGAAUUAAAUUGUCCAAUUCA